CAGAGAAGUGGAAAGUUAAGUCCUGUAUUUACCCACAGAGGAUGCAGGGCACAGGCAAGUAUCUGUGUUCCAAAACAUUGAUGAGUCUUAGCCUGACCUCAAGAGACCCAGCCAGCAGGGAUAGGAGGUAGUUUCCUCUUUAUUAAUUUCUCAGGGGCUGCU
rnacentral:sRNA from 1 species